GUUUCAUCCUCCCCACCUCGUUGGCUCGUUCCCCUCUCUCUCGAUCCGGCGAACUGUGUGUGACACGACGCAGCAGCCCACCAGCGAACCCGCCAUGGCCUCCGCCUCCAAGCAGCAGAGCAUGUACCCGGAGGUACCCCAGUCCCACCCCGACCACAACACCGCCUUCCAGUACAACCCCGCCGCCAGCACCGCCACCGGCGCAGGCGAAUCGCUCUACCCCACCAUGGACCCCCACGAGAUGGCCGAGAACCUCUUCCCGGCCGACGCGGCCGAGGACGCCGCCCCAGCCCCGCCCACGGUGGAGGAGGCCCUCGUCGACGUGCCGGGCGCGCAGCUCCACCUCGUCGACCCCGACCGCAGCCUCGACCUCGGCGCCGGCACGCUCUCCGUCGUGCGCCUCCGCCAGGGAGACCACUGCGUCGCCGUCCUCGCGCGCCUCACCCCGGACAAGUCCAACCAGCGGCGCGGGUUUUUCAGCUUCCUCAGCAGCGGCCGCUCCACCGACGCGCAGGAGCCCGUGCAGUGGCCGCUCGCCAGCGACGUCGCUGUCGUCAAGCUCGACGCCGGCCACUACUUCUUCUCGCUCCACGUCCGCACAGCGACCACCCUGACGACAAGGAGGACGACGUGGCGGAGACGGACGCGGACCGGGAGGCGGCGCUGAGCUACGGGCUCACGGUCGCCGGGAAAGGGCAGGAGCAGGUGCUGGAGGAGCUGGACAGGGUCCUGAAGGAGUACACAACCUUCUCCGUCAAGCAGGUCGACGAGGAGGCGGGCGGCAAGUCGGAGGUAAUGGACACUAGGGCGGUGUCGGAGAUCACGCCGGAGGAGGCUGCCGGGGACAAGAAGGAGGAGAUUGAGGAGCAGUCCGCGGCGUUCUGGACGACAAUCGCGCCGAACGUGGACGACUACAGCUCGUCGGUGGCGAGGCUUAUCGCCAAGGGCUCGGGGCAGCUGGUAAGGGGCAUCAUCUGGUGCGGCGACAUCACAGCCUCGGGCCUCAAAUGCGGGGAGGCGGUGUUGAAGAAGGGUGCGGGGGCCAACGGCAAGCCUACGCAGGUGAAGCCGAGCUCCCUCAAGAGGAUGAAGAGGGCCAGAAGGGUCACUAAAAUGUCGAACAAGGUAGCAAACUCAAUUCUCUCAGGUGUUCUCAAGGUCUCGGGAUUUGUUACCAGCACUGUAGUCAACUCCAAACCUGCACAGAAGUUCUUCAAGUUAAUGCCUGGCGAAGUUAUUCUUGCUUCGCUGGACGGAUUUGGUAAAGUAUGGGAUGCUGUUGAGGUAUCUGGCAAGAACGUGAUGAAAACAUCAUCAGUUGUCACAACUUCAGUUGUAACGCACAGGUACGGUGAUCAAGCAGGAGAGAUAACACAGGACUACCUCCACGCCACCGGAAACGCUCUUGGGGUCGCGUGGGCCGUCUUCAAGAUUCGGAAAGCGCUCGACCCAAAGGGACACAUCAAGAAGUUGUCCCUCGCGAGCUCGGCGGCGCACGCUGUGGCCAAGCAAUCGAUAAGCCUGCAAAAGAAGAAGUAAGCCGUCGUCGUGCACUGGUCGAUGAUGGCUCCACUGUAUAUUAUGUUCUUGUCGAGUUUCUUUGUGUGGGCUAAGGUGGUUCCACUGUGCUGUGUAAUGGUGAUGUACGUUCCUUGAGCUGAAUAGCUAGCAGAUUUAGUUGGGUGUUGCACUGCCGCUUGUGGGUUGUGUAGUUCUGCGUACUGUGAUGUGUAUGUGAACAUGCAACAUAGACCUAUUUCGUGAGUUCUUUUGUGGGAUCGUGUCGAGAGAGUGAGGCCACCGGUUUCUGUUGUUCUGCCGUGGUGCGGG
rnacentral:rRNA from 1 species